rnacentral:lncRNA from 10 species
GCCCAGUUCCUUAAUGUGCCUUUCCCCACUGGCCACAUCUGAAAGCCCUUGAUGUAUCCACUUACAGGCUUGUGGGACAAGACACUAUUCAAAGGAAUGGGAGACACACUGAUCCAGAGGUUCCAACACUGUGAUCUGCAACGAACUGGGCUUCAGUGAUCAACAGUCUCCUCAAGACUUAAUCUGUCGGGAAUUUUAUGUGCCCAUGGUCGGCUUCAUCUGUCUUCCAGACAGAGUGAUAAAAAGUGGAAUCACAGCUAAUGGAGUCCCAUGCAGGUUGCUCUGCUCACAGGAGGACAUUAGGAGGAGAGUGGAUCACUUAAUCUUUCAUCAAGGGUUUUGCUGGUUUCAUAUAACUACAACAGUUAUGUGUAUGAAUCUUGAGAAGCCAAACUGGAGAAAAAAAUAUCCAAUCUUAAUAUGGCACCAGGCCACACCAAGACCAGAUGGAGAGAGAAAGAAGCUGUGGUGUUAAAAAGAGUAAUGAGACUGACCUCUUCUGAGUGGGUGCAGUGCUGAUCUAAUUGGUAAGUCUAUGUCAUGUCUACCUCUCUCACCCUCUCACCCUGUCCUCAUCAUUCUCGUUGAGUUCCCACUGGGUACAUGGCCACAUGUACUUCUGAGGCAAUUCUUCCAGCAGCUGAAAUAAAUAGCAGCAAACUCAACCAAGGAAUAUGCAGAAAUUGAUAGCCUCCUAGAAGAAGG